AUAGACAGGCCGUCAUGUAUACAAAGUGUAUGUACAAACAUGGAUGUAUGUGUGUGCAUUAAGUACAGAGCAUUGAAAAAGUCUAUAAUAUGACGUUAUAAGAAUGUUCAGACACAAGGAAGAUAAAUACCAGUUCGUAGUCAAGGUACACGAUAGUUGAAGUGCUGUAUCAAGAAGCU